ACGGAAGGCAGCAGUGGGGAAUAUUGCACAAUGGGGGAAACCCUGAUGCAGCGACGCCGCGUGAGUGAAGAAGUAUUUCGGUAUGUAAAGCUCUAUCAGCAGGGAAGAAAAUGACGGUACCUGACUAAGAAGCCCCGGCUAACUACGUGCCAGCAGCCGCGGUAAUACGUAGGGGGCAAGCGUUAUCCGGAUUUACUGGGUGUAAAGGGAGCGUAGACGGCGAUGCAAGUCUGAUGUGAAAGCCCGGGGCUCAACCCCGGCACUGCAUUGGAAACUGUGUUGCUAGAGUGCAGGAGAGGUAAGUGGAAUUCCUAGUGUAGCGGUGAAAUGCAUAGAUAUUAGGAGGAACACCAGUGGCGAAGGCGGCUUACUGGACUGUAACUGACGUUGAGGCUCGAAAGCGUGGGGAGCAAACAGGAUUAGAUACCCUGGUA
rnacentral:rRNA from 1 species